rnacentral:rRNA from 1 species
UACGUAGGGGGCGAGCGUUGUCCGGAUUUAUUGGGCGUAAAGAGCUCGUAGGCGGUUUGGCAAGUCGGGUGUGAAAACUCCGGGCUCAACUCGGAGACGCCACUCGAUACUGCUAUGACUCGAGUCCGGUAGGGGAGUGCGGAAUUCCUGGUGUAGCGGUGAAAUGCGCAGAUAUCAGGAGGAACACCGGUGGCGAAGGCGGCACUCUGGGCCGGUACUGACGCUGAGGCACGAAAGCGUGGGGAGCAAACAGG